rnacentral:lncRNA from 1 species
CAAUCUAAAUAAAUUCAGAUUGUAGGGAGCAAAACCACCAGGUAAUGGAAUUUUGUAUUGCUUGUUAACUUUGGGAAACCUUUUCACUGUCCCUUUCUCAACAAAUGCAAAGAGGGGUUGGGCAUACACUUGGUAUGCUCCCACAAGGUGAAUUGCAAUGGCUGCAUUAGCAAUGUCUAUAAGCCAAUAUGCUUUAGAGUAGCCAAAUCCAGUGAGCAGAUUCCCAGGUGCUGCGUCUCCAAAACCAGCAUAGCCAGAGCACCCACAAAGCAUGUAAAAUGUUGUGAUAACUCCAAUACUUAUCUUUGUAGCCUUCUUCAUUGUUUUAGCUUCACAUGGUGGGUUUUUAAUGGUGUCCUGUAGUCAGAAUUUAUUGUUUGUUAAUUCGUUUCUAUGAUAAAACUCUCUUUUCAUUUGUUUCAAAAGUGAAUGCUCAAUUUUGUCAUUAAAAGUGUAAGCAUAGAACAAAUUAGUCUCUAAAAGAAGGAAAUACUCUUGUGAUCCUCAAUUGUAUUAAAUGUCGAUCAAAUUAUUUAUUGUUGACCAACAUUUGACACAAUCCCACAAGAAUAUUUCUUUCUUCUAGAGAUUAACUUCUCAUACAUUUACACAUUUUUCUCAAUUUUUACAAAAGAAUUAAAGGAGCCAAUUACCUGAAUUUCAAUGAGAAUUUGAGAGAAUGAAUAGGCGAAGGCUAUGUCACCAAGAGCUUGGAAAGUUCCCCAUACUUUUUCAGCUUUUGUCACCGUACCAAUACUAACUCCCGUGAGACUACCCUUGAUGGUACCAUUCUCUGUUUUCAAGAUUAAGACAAGAAUAUCAGCAAUGAAAAAUAAUGAAGAAGUUUUUAUUAUCAUACACAAAUUAAAGUAGGCAUGUCACCUGCAAUUUUAGUAAUUCCCAGAUAGAGACUAAUUAAGGAAUAAGUGAAAGACAUGAUUGCUGCAAGUAUUGAGAGCCACCAUGUUUGAUGAAAAUCUGGAAUUUGAGAAAAGAAAAUUUGGAUUACUCCAAAACUGAUCAUAUAUGGGUUGCUUGAAAUGGGACAUGGGUCUUUUCCGCCUGAGGAAUGUUGACAGUCAGUCCUUUUUAUCGUCCUGUCAUCGAAAACUGGUUAGAUUAAAACAGACCCAUCAACUUUACUCAAACUAAAUUAGAUAAUCUUAUUAUUAGACCUGUGGAAAAUGCUGAAAAUUUCGUAAUUUCAAAAUAAAAUUAUUCAAUUAAAACUGUAAAUCUUUUUAAAAAUAUAUUAUUUUUUGGUAGAAAAUGCUAAAAGGAAAACAAAAAGAAAACACCACAGCAGACCAUGUGAAGAAUGUCGGUUAGAGUGAAUCACCACAUGUAGAAGAACUCUGAAGCGAAGAGAGCACUAACGUCAAAUUAGAGUGAACCACCACAUCACAUAAACCAACCUCCCAGCAAAGACGCAACUCAUGAUACAUGCACUUAAAAAUAUAUUAUAAUAAUAUUAUAUUUUUAUCAAAUAAUUUUUUAAUUUUUUUUUUAGUGAAUGUCCGCAUAAUGCAAGCGCCAAGAAAGAAAUUUUGUGACGUGACAUAGAAUGGGGAACAUUUUAAUAAAUACAGAAAUCUAUAUCUAGAUUCUAUAUGUUUUAUGAAAUAAACUAGAUAUAAAGUGUUUGUGUUGCAUAGAUUAUUUAUAAUAUUUUAUAAAAAUAAUUACAUAUUUUCAUUUUUUUUUUACAUUUAUAAAGAAAUUUUAACCAUUAAAAUUAUGAUAUUUAUAUCUGUAAUAAUAUAAACAUCAUUAGGUAAAUUAAAUAUUUUUACUAUGAUAAGUAAUUUAUUUAUGUUUUUAAUUCAAUUUUUACUAAUAUAUACGUAGUUCAUUACUUAUAUUUAAAGUAACUUGUUUUAAAAUAAUACACAUAUAUAUCAGAUUAAUAGUAGAUAACAUAAUAAAUUCUAUUUUAGUUUCAUUUUAUUAUUUUAAAAUUUUUCAUUUGAUAAUUAAUAUUUAAAAUAAUUUUAAUGUUAAUAUUUUAAUCAUACGUAUGAAGAGUUUUUUAUUAAUUGUUUGACACAACAAAUCAUAUAAAUGGAAUUAUUAAAUAUUUAAUAUCAUUAUUGAUGAAUAGGUCAGUUUUAGUUUUUGCCUUAAAAUGCAAUUAAUAUUACUAUUGACUAUUGAGUGCAAUAUAUAUAAUUUGAGAAGCAAUAAUUACAUAAUUAAAGAAAUGUUAUUAUAAUUAUUUAACAUUUUUCUCAAUAAUAUUUUUUAUGAUUAAAAAAAUUGGGGAAAAACCAAAAGCAGACUAAGGGCACCCGAAAAGUCACAUAAUAAAGCUCAGAUAACAUAUCAAUUUUUUUGUGUUGUGCUUGAAAAAAAAAAAAAUCAAUCAAAAGCAGUAAGGAAGCAUUAACUCACAUCAUGCUAAGGGCACCCGCAAUUGUGUAUCCUAUUGCAGUGCCGUAAAGAUUCGAGUACUGGACUAUCCCACAAAUCUUAGCAUUGGUAGUACCUGCAAAAUACAUUAACAUUAUGAUCAAUAUAAUGUUUUUUUUUUGUGAACUCAUGAUCAAUAUAAUGUUAUAUCAUUCUAAUUCAUCUUUUUAGUUAAUGUGAGACCUUAACACACAUAUUUCAAGCCCAAAUUGAAUAUUACAUGUGUGACUUUCCAGCACAAAACAUUUGUGGGUGACCAAUAUACGGUUGAACUCCAAUAAACAGAUCUAAUCAUCUAAUAGACUCGGAUACAUAAUUAGAAUUCAGAUUAUGUCUAACUCAUAUACUAAUGUGUUAUGUAUAGUUACCAAGAAUAUUCUGAACUGCUUCCAUGAAAGAAUAGCUUCUCUUUCUCAUAUUUUGGUCUCCAUAACGAUAACAAUCAGCUAGAAGUGCUGAAGUAUACCAAGUGAUGACACUGAAGAAGAGCAUUGCAACAGUACCAGCAACCCAACCCAUCUGAGCUAUGGCCCAUGCUAAGGACAGAACCCCAGAUCCUACAACCGCGGUUACAAUGUGCGAGCUUGUAGUCCAAACGGUUCCUACCACAAAUAAAUUACACAUCAACUAUGAAAAUCUCCAUGGAAAUUGGUAUACAAUUUUCUAUGUGACAGAACAUAAUCAUCUGUGGAAUUAAGAAUUGGGACAAAUUUCUUAUGUGACAGAACAGAAUCAUGGGGGGUUUUAAUAUGAUAAAGAUCUAUAGUGCUAAGAAACAAAAAUUAAAUUGAAUUGGAUUUGUACCUGUUCGCUUAAUACGGCCAUCAUCAUCAUAAAAUUUGGAUUCGGGCUGUGAAGUGCCACCAUCUAUGGAGUGCUCCACCAUGUCUAAAUUUCGAGGAUGGCUCAGGUUUGUUCUGGAUAAGUUUCCAACCAUCAAUUGGGGAAAUGAGUCAGAAAAUGAAAUAUAAUCGAGAGAAUAUUGAUUAUUUUCUUGAGUUUUGUUCGUCCCUAAAUUGAGUUGCAUUCCCCGAUCAAAGAACAAUUUAUUUAUAUAUCAAAAGCUUUUUGAAAAAUAGAAGUAACAUUAUUUAUUAUAAUUAUUACUAUUAUUUUAUUUCCUAAUAGAAUUUCAUAUCAAUUUUGAUAAUAUUAUUAUUUAACGUUUAAAAAUAUUAAAAUUUAAUGGUGCAAUUAUUUGGAAGCUGGUCAUAUUCUUAUCCAAAAAAUAAGCUUUGUCAUACUCUUAAGACCCUUAAGAAAAUGAUGCUUAUUAAGAAAAUAUAUAAUAAGAUCAAUAAAUGUAUUAAUUAUUUAAAAAAAUUAUUCAAUCUUCCAUGUUUAUCCUUAAUGAAUGUAUUGAAUAGUGUGGAAGAGAAUUAAUCAUAAGUGUUAGUCAAACUUUAGAAUUAGAAAAACUAAAUAAAUACAAGGAGUAUAUAAAGAAGAAGAUAAUAAAUAUUCAUAAAAUAUUGUGGGUCUUAUAUUAAGGAACACUAAAAUGUCUUUAGGAGGUCAUAUAAAAAGGAACGAAUGAAAUAUAAUUAAUGUUUUAACAUAGAGUUUUAAUCCUAAAAUUAAUUAUUAUUUAUCUUUCUUCUGUCAAUUAUAUUAGCUCACUUCUUUGCUAAGUUUUCUACAUCCAAAAAAAAAACUGAUAAAUAUGAAUAAAAAAUCCCUUAAAAUUGUACUAUAAAAAGGGCAAAGAGGUAUUUUAAUGGUCUUAGUCCCAUUAGCUUGGUAAUAUUAAUGAGCUGAUGAAUUUUAUAUUUUUUAAAACCUUCUAUAAUCGGGUUUUGGAAUUCAAAUGACUAUCAAUAUUGGGUUCCUUGGCUUUGGUGGAGUGGCUUCUAUCCUCAAUACGGAGCUUGUGGCUAUUUGGCGUGGUCUACAAGUAGCUUGGGACCAAAGCUAUUCGAAGAUUAUCUAGGACGCUACUAAUUUCUUGAGAACCCCUCCCUCCUAUACGUUUGCGCCUCUGAUUUAGCAUAUCACAGUCCGCCUUAGUAGGCAAUGGGUGGUGUAGCCACUAGCUAAUUCAUACUCUUAGAGAAGCGAAUGCAUAUGUGCAUUUCUUGGCUAAAGUGUGAGCGCGCCAAUUGUUAGAUUUGAUUGUCCACCUCCCCAACUUGAGUCUCUCCUAUGAGCGGAUGAUGGGCCUAGUUGGCCUAUCUUUUUGUUUCUUUUUUUUUUGUUUUUCUCUUCCUUUUUUGUCUUCUAGCACAAAAAAAAAAGACUAUCACUAACAAACUGUCAAAAAGAUGUAAAAUUAACAAAUUGCCAUGUUUUUAGAUAUUUCCAUAUAAACAUGAAAUUAUUUUUAGGUAAAUUGUAUGUAGCCAAAGGAAUCAUUAAAAAAAAAACCCUAAAAGCAAGUUGGCAUUGAGCCCCAAACUCAAUGACAAGUGGAGAAUCAUUGUAUUCCUGAAAGCUGUAAUCCAAAUUGAGAGUGAUUUUAUGUAUUCCCUUCAAUCCCACAACAAUGGACCCAAAACUGAGUUACAGCAACUUGUUCCCAUAAUUCAACUUUUUUUCAUCUUUUCUUUUACAAAUUUGUGCAUAUAUUAUGUAAAAAUCCAAAAUCAGCUUAAUCAGAGAAUAAAUCUGAUACUAAUUAACACCACACACACACACAUACUAGAAAUCAAUGGUUCAGAAAAAAAAAAAAACUGAAUGAUUGAAUCCAUGAAUUUGACAAAGAGAUCAAAAUAGAAGAGAAUUAGUAGCAAGAAACGGUCGGUACCUGUGUGUGUGAAAUCCAAAACAACGUUGUGAGAGAGAGUUCAAUCCAGCGAGUUCACAACCGAAUGAAUGCAGUUUAGUCCUUCUUAUACGAGUGUUCGGUCUAAUUCGGCGUGCGAAAGCGAAAGAGCUAGUAUCUAUUUAUCAUUUGGAUGGACGGUGUAGAAUGAAGCAGCUCUGACUUAUAAGUCUAAAUGUUCGUGUUCUCAUUUUCCACAAUCUCUGGCCCCUACCACUGCCAAUGCGGUUAAGCGUUGACAAUCAAUCACUCUCAUCAAAUGAAAUUAAGGUUUUCAUUUACAUUUUCAAUAAAUAUUCAUUAUUAUUAAUAGCCUCACAUUAAUAUAUAUAAAACAAGAAAGGGUGGUAUUCUAGUAUAUCAUUAAUUAGUAGCGCGUAUGAAAAAGAAUUUGUUGAAAGAUGCCUACUUAUUUAGUGCAUUCUUUGGUUUAAAGCCAUGAGACUAAUUCUUUGAGGCUCUGAGAUUAUUUUCAGCUAUUGUUGUUUGUUGCUACUUGCUACGACGAAGUCUGAGUUCUAUGACUAUGACUCCAAUAACUUCCGGAAAUUAGUUCAUUUUUUAGUCCACAGGGAAAUUAGUUUCUAAGGAUAGAAAUAAAAGCAAUGGGAGAAUCAAGAAUGGCUUAUCCUAUUCAAGUUGCAACAUCAGAAUCAGUGAAGUAGACAUGGGACAAAAGUAUAACAUGGAACUUCAAUAAUUAUAUAGAAGCAGAAAUCUUAAGAUAUGCCUUUACUUUUUUCAAGAUAUGAUGGUAGUACUAUAUACAAUUUGGUACCGAAUAAUCCAAAUUAAAUAAAAAACGUAGAUUGAAAAUAACACGAUAUUCAACAGCAAUUAUUCUGAAGUGCCAUUUCUUAAAUGUAAGCAAGCUAAAAGAUAACAUUACAAUUAGGCCACAGCCAUAACCUUUCUUGCUACCUGCCAGUUUGGUUUCCUCGCAAAUGGAGAAGACACAUCUCAAAGACUUUGGCCACGUUGACUCAAACGUAGCAUUGAGCUCAACGGAAAUUCAAACAUUUAAAAGUCUGAGCUGAAUGCUUUGUAUUUCUGGAGGUCGAGCAGAACACCGACCACUGAGCCGAGACCAGCCACGACUGAUACUAAGAGGCAGAACACGCUCAUCAAUUCCAUAAGAAUCCAUUUCGUGCUCCAUCUUGGGAUCUUCUUUUGUAUGAUGUACAUCUCCAAUGGAAAGUAAACAGUUAAAGGCCAAAACCCGAGUGCUCCAAUCACUCCCAGAACGUCAUUGAAGAAUGGAAUCAGCAUUGCUAUGAGAGUGGUGAUGAUAACAAACACUGACCUCGAAACUAACAUAAAUAUGUUCUGGUUGUAGGAUGGAAGACCAGGUAUUUUAACUUUGAAUCCCUUGUCAAUUUUGGGCCAUUUUUUUGCUGCCUCUUUCUCAAUGAAGGCGAAGAGGGGUUGGGCAUACACUUGGUAUGCUCCCACAAGGUGAAUUACAAUAGCAGCGUUAGCAAUGUCAAUAAUCCAAUAAGCUUUGGUGACGCCAAAUCCAGUGAGUAAGUUCCCAGGUGCUGAGUCUCCAAAAGCAGCAUAGCCCAUGCAGCCACAAAGCAUAUAAAACGUUGUAGUCACUGCAAUACUUAACUUUGUAGCCUUCUUCAUUGUAUU